GGGGAUGUGGCUCAAGUGGUAGAGCGCUCGCCUAGCAUGCGUGAGGCACUGGAUUCGAUUCUCAGCACCA
rnacentral:tRNA from 1 species